AUACAUGCAAGUCGAGCGGACCGACGGGAGCUUGCUCCCUUAGGUCAGCGGCGGACGGGUGAGUAACACGUGGGUAACCUGCCUGUAAGACUGGGAUAACUCCGGGAAACCGGGGCUAAUACCGGAUGCUUGAUUGAACCGCAUGGUUCCAAUCAUAAAAGGUGGCUUUCAGCUACCACUUACUGAUGGACCCGCGGCGCAUUAGCUAGUUGGUGAGGUAACGGCUCACCAAGGCGACGAUGCGUAGCCGACCUGAGAGGGUGAUCGGCCACACUGGGACUGAGACACGGCCCAGACUCCUACGGGAGGCAGCAGUAGGGAAUCUUCCGCAAUGGACGAAAGUCUGACGGAGCAACGCCGCGUGAGUGAUGAAGGUUUUCGGAUCGUAAAACUCUGUUGUUAGGGAAGAACAAGUACCGUUCGAAUAGGGCGGCACCUUGACGGUACCUAACCAGAAAGCCACGGCUAACUACGUGCCAGCAGCCGCGGUAAUACGUAGGUGGCAAGCGUUGUCCGGAAUUAUUGGGCGUAAAGCGCGCGCAGGCGGUUUCUUAAGUCUGAUGUGAAAGCCCCCGGCUCAACCGGGGAGGGUCAUUGGAAACUGGGGAACUUGAGUGCAGAAGAGGAGAGUGGAAUUCCACGUGUAGCGGUGAAAUGCGUAGAGAUGUGGAGGAACACCAGUGGCGAAGGCGACUCUCUGGUCUGUAACUGACGCUGAGGCGCG
rnacentral:rRNA from 1 species